UACGGAAGGGGCAAGCGUUUGUCCGGAAUUAUUGGGCGUAAAGAGCUUGUAGGUGGUUUGUCGCGUCUGCUGUGAAAAUCCGAGGCUCAACCUCGGACUUGCAGUGGGUACGGGCAGACUAGAGUGUGGUAGGGGAGACUGGAAUUCCUGGGUGUAGCGGUGGAAUGCGCAGAUAUCAGGAGGAACACCGAUGGCGAAGGCAGGUCUCUGGGCCAUUACUGACACUGAGAAGCGAAAGCAUGGGGGAGCGAACAGG
rnacentral:rRNA from 1 species